CCUACGGGAGGCUGCAGUGAGGAAUAUUGGUCAAUGGACGCAAGCCUGAACCAGCCAUGCCGCGUGAAGGAAGACGGCCCUAUGAGUUGUAAACUGCUUUUGUACGAGGGUAAAUUGCGAUACGUGUACCGUGUUGUAAGUAUUUUAUGAAUAAGGAUCGGCUAACUCCGUGCCAGCAGCCGCGGUAAUACGGAGGAUCCAAGCGUUAUCCGGAUUUAUUGGGUUUAAAGGGAGCGUAGGUGGUUCGAUAAGUCAGUGGUGAAAGCCCGGGGCUCAACUCCGGCACUGCAUUUGAUACUGUCAGGCUAGAGUAUAGUUGCGGUAGGCGGAAUGCAUGGUGUAGCGGUGAAAUGCAUAGAGAUCAGACAGAACACCGAUUGCGAAGGCAGCUUACCAAACUGCGACUGACGUUGAGGCACGAAAGCGUGGGGAGCAAACAGGAUUAGAUACCCCGGUAGUC
rnacentral:rRNA from 1 species